AUCCUUUUGUGGCUCCUCACUACAAUGACUGGACUGUUACACCACUGCGUGAGACUGCCUCCUCCAAACCUUGUUACAGUGUUGACGAAUUGCCUGUCUGCUG
rfam:Cavia porcellus supercont2_10 genomic scaffold, whole genome shotgun sequence.